GGUGUGUACAAAGGGCAGGGACGUAAUCAACGCAAGCUGAUGACUUGCACUUACUAGGGAUUCCUCGUUGAAGAGUGAAAAUUGCAACACUCUAUCCCCAGCACGACGGAGUUUCACAAGAUUACCCAAACCUGUCGGUUAAGGAAGUACUCGCUGGCUCCGUCAGUGUAGCGCGCGUGCGGCCCAGAACAUCUAAGGGCAUCACAG
rnacentral:rRNA from 1 species